rnacentral:rRNA from 1 species
GACGAAGGGGGCAAGCGUUGUUCGGAAUUACUGGGCGUAAAGGGCGCGUAGGCGGUUCUUUAAGUCAGGCGUGAAAGCCCUGGGCUCAACCUGGGAGUGGCGCUUGAUACUGGAGGACUAGAGAGUGGGAGAGGUUGGUGGAAUUCCCAGUGUAGAGGUGAAAUUCGUAGAUAUUGGGAAGAACACCGGUGGCGAAGGCGGCCAACUGGACCAGCACUGACACUGAGGCACGAAAGCGUGGGGAGCAAACAGG